rnacentral:rRNA from 1 species
ACGAACGCUUGCGGCAUGCCUAACACAUGCAAGUCGAACGAGACCUUCGGGUCUAGUGGCGCCCGGGUGCGUAACGCGUGGGAACCUGCCCUUAGGUUCGGAAUAACUCCCCGAAAGGGGUGCUAAUACCGGAUAAUGUCUUCGGACCAAAGAUUUAUCGCCUUUGGAUGGGCCCGCGUUGGAUUAGCUAGUUGGUAGGGUAAAAUCCUACCAAGGCGACGAUCCAUAGCUGGUCUGAGAGGAUGAUCAGCCACACUGGGACUGAGACACGGCCCAGACUCCUACGGGAGGCAGCAGUGGGGAAUAUUGGACAAUGGGCGAAAGCCUGAUCCAGCAAUGCCGGGUGAGUGAUGAAGGCCUUAGGGUUGUAAAGCUCUUUUACCCGGGAUGAUAAUGACAGUACCGGGAGAAUAAGCGCCGGCUAACUCCGUG